UACGUAGGGGGCAAGCGUUGUCCGGAUUUAUUGGGCGUAAAGCGCGUGUAGGCGGCCAGAUAGGUCUGCUGUGAAAACUCGAGGCUCAACCUCAAGCUGUCGGCGGAAACCAUCUGGCUAGAGUCCGGAAGAGGAGAGUGGAAUUCCUGGUGUAGCGGUGAAAUGCGCAGAUAUCAGGAAGAACACCUAUGGCGAAGGCAGCUCUCUGGGACGGUACUGACGCUGAGACGCGAAAGCGUGGGGAGCGAACAGG
rnacentral:rRNA from 1 species